rnacentral:rRNA from 1 species
GCCCAGACUCCUACGGGAGGCAGCAGUAGGGAAUUUUGCGCAAUGGGCGAAAGCCUGACGCAGCAACGCCGCGUGAUUGAUUAAGCCCUUCGGGGUGUAAAGAUCUGUCAGUGGGGACGAAACUUGACGGUACCCACAGAGGAAGCACCGGCUAACUCCGUGCCAGCAGCCGCGGUAAUACGGAGGGCGCGAGCGUUAAUCGGAAUUACUGGGCGUAAAGCGCGCGUAGGCUGUUGUGUAAGUUGGGGGUGAAAUCCCACGGCUCAACCGUGGAACAGCCCUUGAUACUGCGCGACUUGAAUCCGGGAGAGGGUGGCGGAAUUCCAGGUGUAGGAGUGAAAUCCGUAGAUAUCUGGAGGAACAUCAGUGGCGAAGGCGGCCACCUGGACCGGUAUUGACGCUGAGGCGCGAAAGCGUGGGGAGCAAACAGGAUUAGAUACCCCUCUAAAU